UACGAAGGGGGCUAGCGUUGUUCGGAAUUACUGGGCGUAAAGCGCGCGCAGGCGGCUAUCCAAGUCAGUGGUGAAAGCCCGGGGCUCAACUCCGGGUCGGCCGUGCGAACUGGGGGACUGGAGCUUGUCAGAGGCAGGCGGAAUUCCGGGUGUAGCGGUGGAAUGCGUAGAGAUCCGGAAGAACACCGGUGGCGAAGGCGGGUCUCUGGGCCGUUACUGACGCUGAGGAGCGAAAGCGUGGGGAGCGAACAGG
rnacentral:rRNA from 1 species